rnacentral:rRNA from 1 species
GAGGGGCAUCGGGGCGAGGAGCAAUCCUUGCCGCCGGCGACCGGCGCACGGGUGAGUAACGCGUAUGCGACCUGCCCGUUGCAGGGGGAUAAUCGGGAGAAAUCCCGUCUAAUACCGCGUAACGCCGCGGGGCUGCAUGGCCCUGCGGCCAAAGGGAGCGAUUCCGGCAACGGAUGGGCAUGCGUGACAUUAGCUAGUUGGCGGGGCAACGGCCCACCAAGGCGACGAUGUCUAGGGGUUCUGAGAGGAAGGUCCCCCACACUGGUACUGAGACACGGACCAGACUCCUACGGGAGGCAGCAGUGAGGAAUAUUGGUCAAUGGGCGCGAGCCUGAACCAGCCAAGUCGCGUGAGGGAUGACGGCCCUACGGGUUGUAAACCUCUUUUGUCGGGGAGCAAAUUCCGUUACGUGUAACGGAGUCGAGAGUACCCGAAGAAAAAGCAUCGGCUAACUCCGUGCCAGCAGCCGCGGUAAUACGGAGGAUGCGAGCGUUAUCCGGAUUUAUUGGGUUUAAAGGGUGCGUAGGCGGACUGUCAAGUCAGCGGUAAAAUACGGGGGCUCAACCUCCGCCCGCCGUUGAAACUGACGGUCUUGAGUGGGCGAGAAGUAUGCGGAAUGCGUGGUGUAGCGGUGAAAUGCAUAGAUAUCACGCAGAACUCCGAUUGCGAAGGCAGCAUACCGGCGCCCAACUGACGCUGAAGCACGAAAGCGUGGGUAUCGAACAGGAUUAGAUACCCUGGUAGUCCACGCAGUAAACGAUGAAUACUAGCUGUCCGGGGCGAAUGAGCCCUGGGUGGCACAGCGAAAGCGUUAAGUAUUCCACCUGGGGAGUACGCCGGCAACGGUGAAACUCAAAGGAAUUGACGGGGGCCCGCACAAGCGGAGGAACAUGUGGUUUAAUUCGAUGAUACGCGAGGAACCUUACCCGGGCUCAAACGACACAGGAACGUACCUGAAAGGGUUCGGCUCUACGGAGCCUGUGUCGAGGUGCUGCAUGGUUGUCGUCAGCUCGUGCCGUGAGGUGUCGGCUUAAGUGCCAUAACGAGCGCAACCCCCAUCGACAGUUGCUAACAGGUCAGGCUGAGGACUCUGUCGAGACUGCCGGCGCAAGCUGCGAGGAAGGCGGGGAUGACGUCAAAUCAGCACGGCCCUUACGUCCGGGGCGACACACGUGUUACAAUGGCAGGUACAGCGGGAAGCCACCUGGCGACAGGGAGCGGAACCCGAAAGCCUGUCUCAGUUCGGAUUGGAGUCUGCAACCCGACUCCAUGAAGCUGGAUUCGCUAGUAAUCGCGCAUCAGCCACGGCGCGGUGAAUACGUUCCCGG